AUCAAUGGGCCAACUCCGUAUUGAU
rnacentral:siRNA from 1 species